CGUGCUAGGCCAGAAGGAAGCAUCGCCAAGGGCUAUGGAAAUGAGGAGGUAAUUGCGUUUUGUGUUGACUUUGUUCCUGACCUUAAGCCGAUUGGUCUUCCUCGAUCGCGGCACGAGGGGAGACUAAGUGGAAAAGGCACGAUCGGAAGGAAAUCAACGAUAUGUAUGGACGGCCAUUCUCUGACUGAAGCACACCACACUGUACUGACCAAUUCCAGCUUGGUGGCUCCGUACUUUGAGAAACACAAGAAUAUUUUACGCUCGGAGAACCCGGGGAAGCCUGAAUCCUGGAUUAGGAAGGCCCACAUGGAGACUUUCGGCAGUUGGUUGAGAAAACAU
rnacentral:rRNA from 1 species